rnacentral:rRNA from 1 species
AUUGAACGCUGGCGGAAUGCUUUACACAUGCAAGUCGAACGGCAGCACGGGGCAACCUGGUGGCGAGUGGCGAACGGGUGAGUAAUACAUCGGAACGUGCCCAAUCGUGGGGGAUAACGUAGCGAAAGUUACGCUAAUACCGCAUACGAUCUACGGAUGAAAGCGGGGGAUCGCAAGACCUCGCGCGAAUGGAGCGGCCGAUGUCAGAUUAGGUAGUUGGUGGGGUAAAGGCUCACCAAGCCGACGAUCUGUAGCUGGUCUGAGAGGACGACCAGCCACACUGGGACUGAGACACGGCCCAGACUCCUACGGGAGGCAGCAGUGGGGAAUUUUGGACAAUGGGCGCAAGCCUGAUCCAGCCAUUCCGCGUGCA